UAAGCUUUUAAAUUAUUUGGAAGCUUGAGGGUAGAAAUGCCUGGGGACAGCAGAGGCAGUUCAGUGAGGAAUAGCAGCUAUGGUGAAACUAGAGAUGGAGUGCGUGAUGGGGAGAAGAGAAGACCAACUGAGUCUUUGUGAUGAUGCUCAGGGAGGGAGGGAACAACAAAAUAAUCUUCUCUGCCUCCAUCUGCAACUGCAUGACCACAAAGGAGGAAGUGCCAAAAUGAGAGGGAACUGUGCAUGGAGUCCAUUUAAAGCAAGAGAACACUUGACUGCAUAUGGAUAAGAUGAAACUGUAAGCCACAGCAUGUGUCAUAUUAUUUAAAGAUGUAUUUAGGUGCUUCCUUGGAUGCCUAUGGCACCUUCAAAUGCCAGCUCACCUUUCGUAGCCUUUUAGAACCGACACAAUCUAAGAACAAAAGCUUAUGUGCUCCUGUAGCAAUUACUAUGCUUGGCCUCUUGCAAAGGACAGGAGGGCUGAAAUUUCUGGCAAGGCAACAAAGAGGGUGUCACAGGCCACCUUUGACAAAACCAGAACCAACAGUUGCCUCUGAGCAAUAGGAGCAAAGAGAUGAGCCCAAGGUAUCAUAGUUUUGUGAGAAAGUUAUUUGUAACUGUGAUAUAUAACAAUACUUGCCACAGGGGUCAUAAUGAUGUCUCCUCUUACAUGGCAUUGGGCUUGCAAGUUGGGGUAUCACCCAGGGAGAUGCUGGUGAUUGGCAAAAGAUUUAAUGCUCCUGUUUGAUAGAAAGAGAGAUUAAAAUCUUGUACUACCGCAAGCUGACAUAGAAGUCCAGAAAACAUGUCUCUUCUUUCUAUGCUUUUGGCUGCCCAGCAAUAAAUCUGUUGGCCUGAGAUGCCCAUCCAAUAACAAAAAUAUAUUCUUUGUCAUCUGAACUAUUCAUUGCAUUUAUAGAUCAUAGAGCUGGAUAGCGUCACGAUUGAUUGAGCAAUUCUCCAUCUCCCCUGAUUGCCCGGGACUUGCAGACUAAACAAGGUCACUGACCUGACCCCAAUUACAGUGGAUCAAAAUAAAAAGAGGGACUGAGUGCUGCUGCUUCUUCCUCAGCUACUGCUCCUCUCAGGCUGGAGGAGAAACAACUCCUGAGCUGCUGAGAGGAAUAAAGAUUUAUAUGGUAACUCCUAUCUAGCAUCAUGCAGUGGGACGCUGAGCUGUCAGCUGGUGUAAAUCACAGGGAGCCCUUUGGGAGCUGCUGGAUUUCAGGGACUACUUCCAGUUCGUGCCAGUGGAGGCACUGGUAUCACACAUUUUCCCUUCUUCUGAGGGAGCUUGCUCCAUGGAGGAGAUAAAAUGUGGUCCUGGUGGAAACCCUCAUCCUCCUCAGAAGAGUGGUGGGAGACAAGAUGGUGAAAAAGCUUGUGGAUCAAGAUGGAGACAGGGAGGUUACUUGUUAGUUACCCUCACUGGCAAAAGAAGCUUGACUUGAGGAAAAUUAAUUAAUGUGGCUCCUCCUCACAAGCUGCUGUCACUUCAGGAGCCAGCCCUCAGCCGCAGGGCCUCAGGGGGCUGCAGGGUGCAUCUGCUGUGGCACUUCUGGUUGUGGCCUUUUUGCCCCUUCUUCAGUCUCUUCUCCCCGAGGCUGCCAGUGAGGCUAAUGGGCCAUGCUCUUGUGGCUGUGUGGUGUUAGGGCCCAAUUCAGCUCUUCCUAACAGGAGCUGAGCUGCUCCUCCAUGCCGCCCUCUUUCAACUUGCUCCAGCCCAGCCCUGCGUGCAGCUGCACAGCUGCAGCUGUGGUGUGAGGUGUGGUGUGAGGCGGCAGCUGCCUGUGGAGGAGGACCAGUGUUUGCUGACCUCUCCCUGAAGUCGGAUGUCAGGCCUAACAAGAAAGGAUUCCCAUGGAGCAAAAUCAAAGGCCAAAAGAAUGGAAAGGUGUACAUGUCAAAAAAAGCCACCAUCUACUUGAAAGAAGGUGAAGCUGCUGUCUGCGUCUGCAGGGAGACCAUUCACAGAACAGAAAGGGCACCUGGAAAUCUUGAGAGAAAAAGGAAGAUUUUGGCAUCACUGCAGACAAAGCCAGAGGAGCAACGCUCAGAGCUACAAGAAAGAAGAAACAAUGCAGGCAGCUCUAUUGGCCAACGGUAUACUGAAAGCCCUGAAGACUUGGAUUUGUCUGAAGGCUGCUAGGGAAUAUGAACCCAUACACUUGAAAGAAGCUGCCUUUCAAACACAAAACAAAGCUCAGGCAGCCCUGUGAAAAGAAGGAAUAAAAGCAACUUGAUGUGUUCUGGUGGUGAAAUUAAAAAGCAGAUGUAUAUAAAAGCCAAUAAGCAAACUGUGCAAGUCAAGAAAUAUGAUGUGCCCUGUAUUCUUUUAAUAGUUUAUUAUGUGCAG